rnacentral:rRNA from 1 species
UACGUAGGGAGCAAGCGUUGUUCGGAUUUACUGGGCGUAAAGGGCGCGUAGGCGGCGUGUUAAGUCAGCUGUGAAAUCUCCAAGCUCAACUUGGAACGGCCAGCUGAUACUGAUGUGCUAGAGUGCAGAAGGGGCAAUCGGAAUUCUUGGUGUAGCGGUGAAAUGCGUAGAUAUCAAGAGGAACACCUGAGGUGAAGACGGGUUGCUGGGCUGACACUGACGCUGAGGCGCGAAAGCCAGGGGAGCAAGCGGG